rnacentral:rRNA from 1 species
CCUACGGGUGGCAGCAGUAGGGAAUCUUUCACAAUGGGCGAAAGCCUGAUGGAGCAACGCCGCGUGCAGGAUGAAGGCCUUCGGGUUGUAAACUGCUUUUAUAAGGGAGAAGUAUGAUGGUAACUUAUGAAUAAGAAUCGGCUAACUACGUGCCAGCAGCCGCGGUCAUACGUAGGAUCCGAGAAUUAUCCGGCGUGACUGGGUGUAAAGAGUGGCGUAGGUGGAAUAAUAAGUAGCUAGGGAAAUCUGGUGGCUCAACCAUUCAGACUAUUAGCGAAACUGUUAAGCUCGAGACCGUGAGGGGUAACUGGAAUUUCUAGUGUAGGAGUGAAAUCCGUAGAUAUUAGAAGGAACACCAAUAGCGUAGGCAGGUUGCUGGGACGGUUCUGACACUAAGGCACGAAAGCGUAGGGAGCAAACGGGAUUAGAUACCCGUGUAGUC